rnacentral:lncRNA from 1 species
UCAUGAUCCGCCCCACUCGGCCUCCCAAAGUGCUGGGAUUACAGGCAUGAGUCACCACGCCCAACCUGUGUUCUCUCUUCUUGUGAGGACACCAGUCAUAUUGGACAUAGGGCCCACCCUAAUCUAGUAUAAUCCCCUUUCAACUAACUAUGUCUACAAAGACCCUAUUUCCAAAUAAGGUCACAUCCUGAGUUUCUGGGUGGACGUGAACUUUGGGGGACAUUGGUCAGCCUAGCACAGUUGGGAGGGCCAAAUCUGAGGCUUAGGCUUAUGUGACAUAUUGCUCAGGCCAGAGUUGUUGGAGGUAGGGGCUGUCAGAGACCUGAUUGAUGGGCCUCUCCCAUUCUUCCCAGCUCCAACUGCCUCCUGGGCCCAGGGCUGCUUCCUGCGUGGACAGUCUGGCCUGCUGCCACCAUCACAUCAUCUCUGACUGCACAAGCUGUCUGUGCCUUCCCUAAGGGGAGGGCUUGCUCCGGAGCUGCCUCUGUCAGGCCUGAACUCCUAAAACCUGGACUCAGAGGAAGUCCUAUGAGGCAUGAGACCUGACCCAGGGUGAGGGGGAAUUUUAACCAGUGAGAUCCAAGAGACAAGACAGAGCUGGCAGAAACAUUCCUUCUUAUUUCUCCCUUCAACAGUUUGGCCCAGAAUGUCCUGUCUGACCAAAUGGCUCGCUGGGUUUCUCAGGAAGAGAACUCAGGCUACCACAGGUGCCCUAGAAAAGAGCUCCUUCAGGACUAGGGAGCAAGACCAGGCUUCAACCAAGGCAAAGACUAACAAUUAA